CCUACGGGAGGCAGCAGUGAGGAAUAUUGGUCAAUGGGCGCGAGCCUGAACCAGCCAAGUAGCGUGAAGGAUGACUGCCCUACGGGUUGUAAACUUCUUUUAUAAGGGAAUAAAGUGAGGCAUGUAUGCUUCUUUGUAUGUACUUUAUGAAUAAGGAUCGGCUAACUCCGUGCCAGCAGCCGCGGUAAUACGGAGGAUCCGAGCGUUAUCCGGAUUUAUUGGGUUUAAAGGGAGCGUAGGCGGGUUGUUAAGUCAGUUGUGAAAGUUUGCGGCUCAACCGUAAAAUUGCAGUUGAUACUGGCAGUCGUGAGUACAGUUGAGGUAGGCGGAAUUCGUGGUGUAGCGGUGAAAUGCUUAGAUAUCACGAAGAACUCCGAUUGCGAAGGCAGCUUACUAAACUGCAACUGACGUUGAUGCUCGAAAGUGUGGGUAUCAAACAGGAUUAGAUACCCGGGUAGUC
rnacentral:rRNA from 1 species